GCCUGUGUAGCUCAACGGAAGAGCGCCUGGUCCACACCCAGGAGGCCGGGGGUUCGACACCCUCCGCGGGCAC
rnacentral:tRNA from 1 species